rnacentral:rRNA from 1 species
GUAGGUGGCAAGCGUUGUCCGGAAUUAUUGGGCGUAAAGCGCGCGCAGGCGGUUCUUUAAGGCUGAUGUGAAAGCCCACGGCUCAACCGUGGAGGGUCAUUGGAAACUGGAGAACUUGAGUACAGAAGAGGAAAGCGGAAUUCCACGUGUAGCGGUGAAAUGCGUAGAGAUGUGGAGGAACACCAGUGGCGAAGGCGGCUUUCUGGUCUGUAACUGACGCUGAGGCGCGAAAGCGUGGGGAGCAAACAGGAUUAGAUACCCUGGUAGUCCACGCCGUAAACGAUGAGUGCUAAGUGUUAGGGGGGUUUUCCGCCCCCCUUAGUGCUGCAGCUAACGCAUUAAGCACUCCGCCUGGGAGUACGGCCGCAAGGCUG